GACGUAGGGUCCAAGCGUUGUCCGGAUUUACUGGGCGUAAAGAGCGCGUAGGCGGUCUGUUAAGUGCACGAGUGAAAUCCCUGGGCUCACCUCAGGAACCGCUCUGCAUACUGGCAGACUGGAGGGUCGGAGAGGUAUGUGGAAUUCCUGGUGUAGCGGUGAAAUGCGUAGAUAUCGGGAGGAACACCUGUGGCGAAAAGCGGCUCACUGGACCACAACUGACGCUGAUGCACGAAAGCUAGGGGAGCAAACAGG
rnacentral:rRNA from 1 species